UACGUAGGGGGCAAGCGUUGUCCGGAUUUAUUGGGCGUAAAGAGCGUGUAGGCGGUUAUGCAGGUCCGCUGUGAAAACUGGAGGCUUAACCUCCAGACGUCGGUGGAAACCAUCUGGCUAGAGUCCGGAAGAGGAGAGUGGAAUUCCUGGUGUAGCGGUGAAAUGCGCAGAUAUCAGGAAGAACACCCGUGGCUAAGGCGGCUCUCUAGUACGGUACUGACGCUGAGACGCGAAAGCGUGGGGAGCGAACAGG
rnacentral:rRNA from 1 species